AGCUUUGCGCAGUGGCAGUAUCGUAGCCAAUGAGGUUUAUCCGAGGCGCGAUUAUUGCUAAUUAAAAAAUAAUAAUAAAAUUGAUAAGCCUCUUACUAGGCCAAGAAGAAAGAUCAGAAGUAUUUCACUGUUUUCCUCAUAGAAU
ensembl:snRNA U4 U4 spliceosomal RNA